rnacentral:rRNA from 1 species
UACGGGGGGAGCAAGCGUUGUUCGGAUUUACUGGGCGUAAAGGGCGCGUAGGCGGCCACCGCAAGUCGAUUGUGAAAUCUCCGGGCUUAACCCGGAAAGGUCAACCGAUACUGCGGGGCUAGAGUGCAGAAGGGGCAACUGGAAUUCUCGGUGUAGCGGUGAAAUGCGCAGAUAUCAGGAGGAACACCGGUGGCGAAGGCGGGUCUCUGGGCAGUAACUGACGCUGAGAAGCGAAAGCGUGGGUAGCGAACAGG